UUUUGUGGGGAGCUUAUUAGUCAUUUCCGACAUAUAAGCAAUUUACAAACUCCUCCUUCAACAAACGCCUUGUCCUAAGACUGAAACUAAUGAUUUUCUUUCCGUGUUUUCUUCGAUUUUCUGUCAGAAAUCCAACAAAUCUUGAGAGAAAUGCAUAAAGGACGUACGAUACGUUCUACCAACUCUAUCAGAUAACUGCCUCCAUUUUCGGCCGAAAAAUUCGAUGUCUUCGGUUGAGCGGGACAAAGAUAAAGGGCUAAAAUUCAAUUCCCCUCCUCUAUCGCUGAAGAGAGAAGCCGCUGCUCUUAACGAAUAAGGUUGAUGUUGCGGAUCAUGGGAAUAGUGACUUUUUUGACCCACUGAGAGGAUUGGCUGAUAAUGCAAUCUGAAGAGGAUUUGUGUAGCGACCAGCUACCUUUCAACAUUUUUUUUUGAAAGCUGUGCAUGCUAUUCUAACACAUAUCUGCACCUAUUAUCUCAUAACAUCGUAAUAACAUUUCAUAUUAGAAAUUACAUUCUAGCAGCGGAAACAUCUAACAUAUUACAUGAAGUAGCACCACAGUGCUGACAUUAAACAUCUAUAUUAUAAAGUUUAACUGUCUUUACAUAAUACAACUGUGGCUAUACAAAGUGUCUCAUGUGACACAAGCCGUAUAUAUCGUAAGUGUUUAUAUACAUGCCCAAUAAUGAAUCAAAGCAUUACUGAAACA